rnacentral:lncRNA from 1 species
CAGAACUUAAAUCUUGGUUUCCCGACUUGGUGUCUUCUGGCCCGAGAAGAUUGUUUAAGUUCUCGGCCUCUCUUUGCUCAUCUGAAAAUGAGUUUUUAAUAAGUGUUUCGAGGGAUAGAGUCCAGAUUCAAACAGUUCUCGGUGUGUUGCAAGUGGCCGGUGGACUUCUCGGAAAAUCACCUCUUCUUGAAAAGCUGGGAACUGAGCACACUGUCUUUGAAGGCACUGUCAAGUGUCAGGUAGGUUAGAAUGCUCCACUGCCCUAAAAAUAA